rnacentral:rRNA from 1 species
GAUGAACGCUGGCGGCGUGCCUAAUACAUGCAAGUCGAGCGAACAGACGAGGAGCUUGCUCCUCUGACGUUAGCGGCGGACGGGUGAGCAACACGUGGAUAACCUACCUAUAAGACUGGGAUAACUUCGGGAAACCGGAGCUAAUACCGUAUAACAUGUUGAACCGCAUGGUUCAACAGUGAAAGACGGUCUUUCUGUCACUUAUAGAUGGAUCCGCGCCGCAUUAGCUAGUUGGUAAGGUAACGGCUUACCAAGGCAACGAUGCGUAGCCGACCUGAGAGGGUGAUCGGCCACACUGGAACUGAGACACGGUCCAGACUCCUACGGGAGGCAGCAGUAGGGAAUCUUCCGCAAUGGGCGAAAGCCUGACGGAGCAACGCCGCGUGAGUGAAGAAGGUCUUCGGAUCGUAAAACUCUGUUAUUAGGGAAGAACAAAUGUGUAAGUAACUAUGCACGUCUUGACGGUACCUAAUCAGAAAGCCACGGCUAACUACGUG